UUCACUGUAUCUGAUUUUCGUUUUUACUUUCUCUCUCAUCCUCUAAAUUCUCAUCUGCGAAUUUUUCUAAGAGCUUCUCGAUCAUUAUUGGAUUUGCUUUUCUUCGUCACUUUUUUCGUUGCAGAUUGAUACAAAGUAAGGAAAAUGGAGUAAUUCUGCCUACUUCAACAAUGCCUAACUUCAGGCAACAGAAGAUGCAGUUAUCAUAGCUAGAUCUGUUAGCGAAUCGAAGAUUUGAAAGAGAUUGAUAGUCUGAAAGAUAAUAUAUAAAGGCUCUAAGUGAAACAAUGUGUUGAUCCCAAGCUUAAUGACAAUUACCCACCGAAUGCAGUAGCCAAGAUUGCAGCAGUAGCAGCAUUAUGUGUUCAGUAUGAAGCUGACUUUAGGCCCAACAUGACGAUUGUGGUUAAGGCUCUGCAGCCUCUUCUGAAUGCAAAUAAACCAGCAGGCACCGAUGCACAAGCAUGAUUAUUAUAAUGUGAUACCAAGUAAUUUCAUUACAAAAGAUAUGGGUUCAAAUCGAAUGUGAAAUAUACACUAGCCUACUAGCUCAAUUGGCAGAGCACUGUGCAAUUGCACAAAAGAUGUGGGUUCAAAUCCCACAUAGGUUCAUUUGUGUAAUUUUUUUUUUUAUAAUUUUUUUUUUUACUUUUUGUAUUAUUUUAUUAACUUCUUAUUUGAAAACUUUUACUUUAACCUCA